GCAGAGCCCAUGGGAGGGGGCUAUGGGGGCUCCGGGCAGGGAUUCUGGGAGAUGGGGGUGGCUCUGGCUACUCCCUCCCGGAGCUGUGGGCUGGGGGGCUCUGUGCUCGGUGGCUCUGUGUGGGGCCUCCAGGCUGUGGUAUAGGCCAGGUGGGCUCUCGGCCCAGGCUGAGGGGGUUCUGGGCAGGUGGUGAUGGCUGAGAGUGGCCUGCACUGCCCCACACAGAGCCCACCCCUUGCUUUCUGCCUCCAGUCCUGGUCCCAUGCCCAGGGCCAGGAGGGCAGCUCAGGGAGUGGGGGCAGCAUCCCAGGGGCUGGAAACCAGGCUGUGGUCCCCAAAGCAUGGCCUGUGCACCCCAACCCCCCCUUCACCCCUGUCUGUUGCCCUCCCAGUGCCAGGGAUGGCCAGUUGCCUCCCACAGUCAGGCCUCCAUCCAGCUGGCUCCAGCGGCCACACUCCAGGCCUGUGCGGCCCGCCCUGUCCCGGCCCAAGGUCUGGGCAGCAGGGGCAGCGUCACAGCCAGCCUCGCCUCCACGGGGAAAAUACUCUAGUCAUCAAAAGACACUACGCAGAAAAUGACCAUGAAGUCUGCGGAGAUCCUGCCAAACAAAUCUCACACAAAAAUCUCGAAUCCAGAAUAUAGAAAGAAUUAUCACAAAUCAAUAAAAAGACACACAACCCCACUUUAAAAAUGAACAGAGGAGACUGGAAUGGACAGACCGUGCAGGACUAAUUGUUUAACAAGUUUUUGUCAUGAGGGAAAUGCAACUUUAAGCCAGGAAGAGUCAGAACCGCACAAUCAGCGGAAGAGAGACAGUUUUUAAAUCUCGACACCACCGACUUUUAAAGACACCAAAACUGUCACACACGAAUGGCGAGAGUUAAAACACCGCAACCACUUCGGGAAAGGUUUGGACAGUCCCUUAAAACGUUUUCACUCGCCUGCCAUAAGAGAAGCAGAAAUGAAAUCCCGAGCCCCCGCACCAACAAGCUGAACAGACCCCUCUCGGCCAAGGGGAUUCCAGAGAAAUCUGAAAAACAUGCCAAAAAUUCCGCCAUGACAGAGCGGGAGGUGGGACCUGCCGCGUCACAGCCCCUCCGUCUGUGGUUGGGACACCACACUCACUCGCAUGAAGGUGAAGGCGGAGAGGAGACUGACAAAACAGGUUCCUCGUGGCGAUAAGAUAGCAAACAGUCAACAAGACCUGAAGCCCUGCCUGGCAGGGGUGGAGCCACGCACCGGACGGACACUUAAAAGCAGAAACCAGGGGCUGCCGGCCAGGAGGGUUCUCUUUUGCUCUCGCAGCUAAACCAGCACUGGCCUCCAGGAGAGCCAUACUCACUCAGGUGCAGCCCACCCACUGCAGACGCUGACACACAGCCCCACUCCUCUGUGCCGCAAGCCCUGAGUUUGAUUGGCCAAGAGGCUGAUUUCUGUAAUUCUGACCAGGGACCACCCAGCAGGGACUGGUUCUGGUUGGUUUCCAGAGGCUGUGCACUGAGCGCCUUUGUGUUGCUGCUUCACCUUUCCAGGCACGGGUCUCAUAGGAACACAUUUAGAUGUCACGUGUCCACCCCCAAGGGAACUUGGGAUGCAUGUCACAUGCGUGUUUGUUCAGUAUGCAUGAGUGACGACCCCUUCCUGAAUGUUCACGGCUCCUCCAGCAACCCAGGGAGCGCGUGUGCUUAGCCGACCUGUUCAGCAAGAAGCUCCUGCCCCAACCCCCUCCUUCCAGGUGCCCGGCCCUGGCUCUGCCGGCCACCCUGAAGGGCCUACCCCUUUCUAGGAAAUAAAGUCUUCUUUCCAAUUUUA